rnacentral:rRNA from 1 species
GGUGCACGUGGGGAGGGCUCAUUGUAGAAACCUGCCCAGCAGAACGACCCGUGAACGUGUUUACUUAUAAUGGCUUGCGUGCCAUCGUGCCCCUUGCCUAAGCCUGGGAGCGCUCGCUUGUUGGGUGCUUCUUGCUGCAUAAACGAUCCCCGGCGCUAAAAGCGUCAAGGAACAAAGGCACUUGUCCCUGCUUGGUUAGCCAUGCGGGGCAGGUGUCGUGUCUUAAAAAUAAACGACUCUCGGCAACGGAUAUCUCGGCUCUCGCAUCGAUGAAGAACGUAGCGAAAUGCGAUACUUGGUGUGAAUUGCAGAAUCCCGUGAACCAUCGAGUCUUUGAACGCAAGUUGCGCCCGAAGCCUCCGGCUGAGGGCACGUCUGCCUGGGCGUCACGCAUUGCGUCUCCCCCACAGAGGGAAGGAUGAUGGCUUCCCGUGCCUCACCCGGUGCGGUUGGCCUAAAAAUGGAGCCCGUGGUACUAAGUUCUCGCGGCGAUAGGUGGUGAACAAGGCUUCGGCCGUGCUAACAACCUGCCUCGUUGUGCGCUCGUUGGACCCUUUGAUGUUGCCUCAAACCUAUGCGA